UCAGGCCUAACACAUGCAAGUCGAGCGGUAGCGGGAAGAGCUUGCUCUUUGCCGACGAGCGGCGGACGGGUGCGUAACACGUAGGAAUCUGCCUGGUAGUGGGGGAUAGCCCGGAGAAAUCCGGAUUAAUACCGCAUACGCCUUACGAGGGAAAGGAGGGGACUCUUCGGAGCCUUUCGCUAUCAGAUGAGCCUGCGUCGGAUUAGCUUGUUGGUGGGGUAAAGGCCUACCAAGGCGACGAUCCGUAGCUGGUCUGAGAGGAUGAUCAGCCACACUGGGACUGAGACACGGCCCAGACUCCUACGGGAGGCAGCAGUGGGGAAUAUUGCACAAUGGGCGAAAGCCUGAUGCAGCCAUGCCGCGUGUGUGAAGAAGGCCCUAGGGUUGUAAAGCACUUUCAGUGGGGAGGAAAGGUUGAAGGUUAAUACCCUUCAGCUGUGACGUUACCCACAGAAGAAGCACCGGCUAACUCCGUGCCAGCAGCCGCGGUAAUACGGAGGGUGCGAGCGUUAAUCGGAAUUACUGGGCGUAAAGCGUGCGUAGGCGGCCACCUAAGUUGGAUGUGAAAGCCCCGGGCUCAACCUGGGAACUGCAUCCAAAACUGGGUGGCUAGAGUACGGGAGAGGAGUGUGGAAUUUCCUGUGUAGCGGUGAAAUGCGUAGAUAUAGGAAGGAACACCAGUGGCGAAAGCGACACUCUG
rnacentral:rRNA from 1 species